GACGAACGCUGGCGGCGUGCUUAACACAUGCAAGUCGAACGCUGAAGCUCAGCUUUUGUUGGGUGGAUGAGUGGCGAACGGGUGAGUAACACGUGAGUAACCUGCCUCCUUCUUUGGGAUAACGCCCGGAAACGGGUGCUAAUACUGGAUAUUCACUGGUCUUCGCAUGGGGGUUGGUGGAAAGGGUUUUUCUGGUGGGGGAUGGGCUCGCGGCCUAUCAGCUUGUUGGUGGGGUGAUGGCCUACCAAGGCUUUGACGGGUAGCCGGCCUGAGAGGGUGACCGGUCACAUUGGGACUGAGAUACGGCCCAGACUCCUAGGGGAGGCAGCAGUGGGGAAUACUGCACAAUGGGCGCAAGCCUGAUGCAGCGACGCCGCGUGAGGGAUGGAGGCCUUCGGGUUGUGAACCUCUUUCGCUCAUGGUCAAGCCGCAACAAUGGUUGUGGUGAGGGUAGUGGGUAAAGAAGCGCCGGCUAACUACGUG
rnacentral:rRNA from 1 species